UCAGCAGCCGCGGUAAUACGUAGGAUCCGAGCGUUAUCCGAAUUUACUGGGCGUAAAGCGUGUGUAGGCGGUUUGAUAAGUUGGAUGUGAAAGCUCCCGGCUCAACUGGGAGAGGCCGUUCAAAACUAUCAGACUAGAGGACGGUAGAGGAAGGUAGAAUUCCCGGUGUAGUAGUGAAAUGCGUAGAUAUCGGGAGGAAUACCAGUGGCGAAGGCGGCCUUCUGGACCGUUCCUGACGCUCAGACACGAAAGCUAGGGGAGCGAACGGGAUUAGAAACCCCGGUAGUCCUAGCUGUAAACGAUGCAAACUUGGUGUUGGUGGGGUAAAAUCCGCCGGUGCCGAAGCUAACGCGAUAAGUUUGCCGCCUGGGGACUACGGCCGCAAGGUUAAAACUCAAAGGAAUUGACGGGGGCCCGCACAAGC
rnacentral:rRNA from 1 species